rnacentral:rRNA from 1 species
AGCCGCCGCGGUAAUACCAGCAGCUCAAGUGGUGAUCCUUUUUAUUGGGCCUAAAGCGUCCGUAGCCGGUCUAGUAAAUCCUUGGGUAAAUCGUACCGCUUAACGGUACGACUUCUGGGGAGACUGCUAGACUUGGGACUGGGAGAGGUCGGAGGUACUCCUGGGGUAGGGGUGAAAUCCUGUAAUCCUGGGGGGACCACCAGUGGCGAAGGCGUCCGACUAGAACGGAUCCGACGGUGAGGGACGAAGCCGUGGGGCACAAACCGGAUUAGAUACCCGGGUAGUCCACGGUGUAAACGCUGCGAGCUUGGUGUUGGGGGUCCUACGGGGGCGCCCAGUGCCGGAGAGAAGUUGUUAAGCUCGCCGCCUGGGGAGUACGAUCGCAAGAUUGAAACUUAAAGGAAUUGGCGGGGGAGCACCGCAACGGGUGGAGCGUGCGGUUCAAUUGGAUUCAACGCCGGAAAACUCACCGGAGGCGACUGUUACAUGAAAGUCAGGCUGAUGACCUUACUCGAUUUUCAGAGAGGUGGUGCAUGGCCGCCGUCAGUUCGUACCGUAAGGCGUUCUGUUAAGUCAGAUAACGAACGAGACCCCAUCCCUUAAUUGCCAGACUGGUCUUCGGAUCAGAGGAACAUUAAGGGAACCGCUGGUGUUAAAUCGGAGGAAGGUGGGGCAACGGUAGGUCAGUAUGCCCCGAAUCCUCCGGGCUACACGCGCGCUACAAAGGAUAGGACAAUGAGUUCCAACACCGAAAGAUGAAGGCAAUCCCGAAACCUAUUCGUAGUUCGGAUUGAGGGCUGUAACCCGCCCUCAUGAAGCUGGAAUCCUUAGUAAUCGUGGGUCAACAUCCCACGGUGAAUAUGCCCCUGCUCCU